GUCUAUGGCCAUACAACCCUGAACAUGCCUGAUCUCAUCUGAUCUCAGAAGCUAAGCAGGGUCGGGCCUGGUUAGUACUUGGAUGGGAGAUCGCCUGGGAAUAUCGGAUGCUGUAGGCA
rnacentral:rRNA from 1 species